CUUCACCGAACCCAGCCACAACGGCCGGUCCCCCGGCCGAUCCCGGCCGUACGUGGCCAGCAACGCCUGUGCUUC
rnacentral:antisense_RNA from 1 species